GAUGAACGCUGGCGGCGUGCCUAAUACAUGCAAGUCGAGCGAAUGGAUUAAGAGCUUGCUCUUAUGAAGUUAGCGGCGGACGGGCGAGUAACACGUGGGUAACCUGCCCAUAAGAAUGGGAUAACUCCGGGAAACCGGGGCUAAUACCGGAUAACGUUUUGAACCGCAUGGUUCGAAAUUGAAAGGCGGCUUCGGCUGUCACUUAUGGAUGGACCCGCGUCGCAUUAGCUAGUUGGUGAGGUAACGGCUCACCAAGGCAACGAUGCGUAGCCGACCUGAGAGGGGGAUCGGCCACACUGGGACUGAGACACGGCCCAGACUCCUACGGGAGGCAGCAGUAGGGAAUCUUCCGCAAUGGACGAAAGUCUGACGGAGCAACGCCGCGUGAGUGAUGAAGGCUUUCGGGUCGUAAAACUCUGUUGUUAGGGAAGGACAAGUGCUAGUUGAAUAAGCUGGCACCUUGACGGUACCUAACCAGAAAGCCACGGCUAACUACGUGCCAGCAGCCGCAGUAA
rnacentral:rRNA from 1 species